AUUGAACGCUGGCGGCGUGCCUAACACAUGCAAGUCGAGCGGUAACAGGUGUAGCAAUACAUGCUGACGAGCGGCGAACGGGUGAGUAAUGCUUCGGAAUCUGCCCAUGUAGUGGGGAAUAACCAGCCGAAAGGUUGGCUAAUACCGCAUACGACCUACGGGUGAAAGCAGGGGAUCGCAAGACCUUGCGCUAUUGGAUGAGCCGAAGUCGGAUUAGCUAGUUGGUAGGGUAACGGCCUACCAAGGCGACGAUCCGUAGCUGGUCUGAGAGGACGACCAGCCACACUGGGACUGAGACACGGCCCAGACUCCUACGGGAGGCAGCAGUGGGGAAUAUUGGACAAUGGGGGCAACCCUGAUCCAGCGACGCCGCGUGUGUGAAGAAGGCCUGCGGGUUGU
rnacentral:rRNA from 1 species